AGGGCGUGAGGUCGAGAAUACGGGUACAGCAGUCUUGCAGAAUACACUGCAAGUGGAAUCGACAGGAACAACGGAGUGCAGAUACAGGCGGAGCUUGUCUUAACUGAAAUCAGUCCCUCAGUGACGAUUUAAAGUGUUUCUGCGUGUACGGCCCGACAUCGGAACGAGUGCUGUCAAUUCAGGUGAGAGAGGAGGUACAGAUAAUAGAAGUGAACAGUGUAUGUUAAAAUGGCAAAAACUGUGCGAGUCACCGGAUGUGUAUCAAUAGAAAUUGAGAGUUCUAAAAGCAAGUGCUAGUGAACUGUGUCUGCAGAAGGUUGCACAUCGCAAACAAUGAAUACCUUGGAGACGAUGAAGUUAUCACAGGAGUCAACUUUAGUCGUUAAUCAGGAGCACAUCCGGAAUAUGUGGAAGAUCAUGUACUUCGUUCGGAGGUGCUAUUGGGAAAAAAUAGCGAAGCCUACGAAGUCACAGCAGAAUUCUAUUUUUCAAAGCCUUGCGGCUGUUCGUCUUUCCUAAUGCACUCUUUGACACCGUGUCAGCAGUUGUCACUUCACCUUGUCAAAUGAAAACUCAACUGCUUGAGGCAGAAUUUUGAGUCUAAGAUCGUGUGUUGUUCUAGAGCUGAUGUCAUUUCAGUACGGUUUACGAAGAUACGUCAAUGUAACAAUCAUCCAGACAGUUUCUGUUACAUUUUGUGGAUACUACACCCUUCUUCGUCAAAGACGUGACAUAACAUUCUUUGUGAGGCGAGCUUAUACAGGGUAAUUUGGCCACCAAGACAAAACAUGGGCAGCAAAUCCCGUAUGUCACAACUAUGAGGGGAUGCUGCGUGACUGGACGAAAGGAUAGCGUAAGGGUUUAUUUAUCGGAAUUUCCAUGUUCUGGCUAGAAGCAGUGGAUCACACAAGUGACUGCUCUUUUUGUAACUUUAUUACAAAGGGAACUGGCAGGAAAAACAUACAUAAAAUACCGUAUCCUAAUAUGCUCUCAACAAUAAACGUACUAUGCACUCUGAUGAGCUACCACAUCCACUUUUUACAGGAUUUACUCCAUCUGCAGACGAGGACAGCGACGGAAAGCCGGAGACAGAUGAAGAAAGUGCCUUUUACGUGUUUUCCUCUAAUCCGUCACAGUCCACAACUUCCCAUUAGUCUGAACAGAAUGAACAUUGCUCUGAUUUGAGUCUCUCCAAAUUUGCAGCCGAAGUGUUAGCCUAGAAUGCAAGAAAAAUAUGUACUGAUUGAUACUGUAAAAGCCUCAUAUCAUCUAA